CGUGAGAGCGUGGUAGUUGCGGGUCACAGCGACGGGACGGUGACGGUGUUCGACGCCGCUGCGUCUCCAGGGCGGCUCUCCUCCUCCACGACCUCCGGCAAGCACCUCCUUCCUGUUAUGCAGGUCUGCUGCCUGGACACCGAACCAGGGCAGAGUCCAAGUUUCUAUUCGGUAUCCCAAGAUGGUCGAGUGUCCCAAUGGUUUGUUCAUUCACCAUGGCUUAAAUGCUCAGACAUUCUGGAUUUCCACACAACCAAGAGGCCCACCAGAAAAGCUUCUUCGAGCAAGGUACCGCUACAUGUAUAGCGAUUAGCCCAGAGAGGGACGACAUACUACUUCUGGGUGUAGAUACAGGGGCGUUAUUCCAAGUAUGUACAUCCAAAACUAAGCACUCUAUCAUUCGCUAUCCCGCCCAUCUUGGACCCGUAACCGCCGUCACA